rnacentral:rRNA from 1 species
GUGGGGAAUUUUGGACAAUGGGCGAAAGCCUGAUCCAGCCAUGCCGCGUGCAGGAUGAAGGCCUUCGGGUUGUAAACUGCUUUUGUACGGAACGAAAAAGCUCUCUCUAAUACAGGGGGUGAAUGACGGUACCGUAAGAAUAAGCACCGGCUAACUACGUGCCAGCAGCCGCGGUACUACGUAGGGUGCAAGCGUUAAUCGGAAUUACUGGGCGUAAAGCGUGCGCAGGCGGUUAUGUAAGACAGAGGUGAAAUCCCCGGGCUCAACCUGGGAACUGCCUUUGGGACUGCAUAGCUGGAGUGCGGAAGAGGGGGAUGGAAUUCCGCGUGUAGCAGUGAAAUGCGUAGAUAUGCGGAGGAACACCGAUGGCGAAGGCAAUCCCCUGGGCCUGCACUGACGCUCAUGCACGAAAGCGUGGGGAGCAAACAGGAUUAGAUACCCGGGUAGUCC